rnacentral:rRNA from 1 species
AGAGUUUGAUUCUGGCUCAGAACGAACGCUGGCAGCGUGGAUUAGGCAUGCAAGUCGAACGGGGAGCCUUGAUCUCAAUCUUCGGAGAGAAGUCGAGGUGGAUAGUGGCGAAAGGGUGAGUAACGCGUGAGUAACUUGCCUUCGAGUCUGGGAUAACUCAGCGAAAGCUGGGCUAAUACCGGAUAUGGUACUCCGUCGCAUGGCGGGGCAACUAAAGGUGGGGAUCCUUCGGGACCUGCCGCUUGGAGAGAAGCUCGCGUCCCAUCAGCUUGUUGGUAGGGUAAUGGCCUACCAAGGCUUACGGGUAGCCGGCCUGAGAGGGUGAUCGGCCACACUGGGACUGAGACACUGCCCAGACUCCUACGGGAGGCUGCAGUCGAGGAUCAUUCGCAAUGCGCGAAAGCGUGACGAUGCGACGCUGCGUGGAGGAUGACGGCCUUCGGGUUGUAAACUCCUGUCAUGAGGGAAAAGACACCGGUAGGUUAAUAACCUGUCGGUCCGAUGGUACCUCAAGAGGAAGCCACGGCUAACUCUGUGCCAGCAGCCGCGGUAAUACAGAGGUGGCGAGCGUUGUUCGGAUUUACUGGGCGUAAAGGGUGCGUAGGUGGCACUGUAUGUCGGAUGUGAAAGCCUGGGGCUCAACUCCAGAAUUGCAUUCGAAACUGCAGAGCUAGAGUACAGGAUGGGAGAGCGGAAUUCUUGGUGUAGCGGUGAAAUGCGUUGAUAUCAAGAAGAACACCGGUGGCGAAGGCGGCUCUCUGGAAUGUUACUGACACUGAGGCACGAAAGCUGGGGGUCAAACAGGAUUAGAUACCCUGGUAGUCCCAGCCGUAAACGGUGUGAACUUGGUGUAGGGGGUAUUGACUCCCCCUGUGCCGGAGCUAACGCGUUAAGUUCACCGCCUGGGGAGUACGGCCGCAAGGUUAAAACUCAAAGAAAUUGACGGGGGCCCGCACAAGCGGAGGAGCAUGUGGCUUAAUUCGAUGCAACGCGAAGAACCUUACCUGGGUUUGACAUCCGAGGGGCUUGCCCCUAAUACGUGAAAGCGUACUAACGAGACAGGUGCUGCAUGGCUGUCGUCAGUUCGUGCCGUGAGGUGUUGGGUUAAGUCCCGCAACGAACGCAACCCUUGUGUUUAGUUGCUACCCCUGAGUAAUCAGGGCGCACUCUAGACAGACUGCCCGUACAAGCGGGAGGAAGGUGGGGAUGACGUCAAGUCCGUAUGGCCCUUACAUCCAGGGCUGCACACGUGCUACAAUGGCCGGUACAGAGGGCAGCAAGACCGCGAGGUGGAGCAAAUCCCUAAAAGCCGGCCCCAGUUCGGAUUGGAGUCUGCAACUCGACUCCAUGAAGUCGGAUUCGCUAGUAACGGCGUAUCAGCUACGACGCCGUGAAUACGUUCCCGGGCCUUGUACACACCGCCCGUCACAUCAUGGAAGUCGUCUGCACCCGAAGUCAUUGAGCCAACCUUUUACGAGGAGGCAGGUGCCUAAGGUGUGGGUGAUAACUGGGAUGAAGUCGGAACAAGGUA